UACGUAGGGUGCGAGCGUUAAUCGGAAUUACUGGGCGUAAAGCGCACGCAGGCGGUCUGUUAAGUCAGAUGUGAAAUCCCCGGGCUUAACCUGGAAACUGCAUUUGAAACUGGCAGGCUUGAGUCUUGUAGAGGGGGGUAGAAUUCCAGGUGUAGCGGUGAAAUGCGUAGAGAUCUGGAGGAAUAUCGGUGGCGAAGGCGGCCCCCUGGACAAAGACUGACGCUCAGGUGCGAAAGCGUGGGGAGCAAACAGG
rnacentral:rRNA from 1 species